CCUACGGGAGGCAGCAGUAGGGAAUUUUCCGCAAUGGGCGAAAGCCUGACGGAGCAAUACCGCGUGAGGGAUGACGGCCUGUGGGUUGUAAACCUCUUUUCUCAAGGAAGAAGUUCUGACGGUACUUGAGGAAUAAGCAUCGGCUAACUCUGUGCCAGCAGCCGCGGUAAUACAGAGGAUGCAAGCGUUAUCCGGAAUCACUGGGCAUAAAGCGUCUGUAGGUUGUUUAGUAAGUCUGCUGUUAAAGACUGGGGCUUAACCCCAGAAAAGCAGUGGAAACUGCUAGACUCGAGUGUGGUAGAGGUAGAGGGAAUUCCUAGUGCAGCGGUGAAAUGCGUAGAUAUUAGGAAGAACACCAAUGGCGAAGGCACUCUACUGGGCCAUAACUGACACUGAGAGACGACAGCUAGGGGAGCAAACGGGAUUAGAUACCCCGGUAGUCCUAGCCGUAAACGAUGGAUACUAGAUGUUGCACGUAUUAACCCGUGCAGUAUCGUAGCUAAGGCGUUAAGUAUCCCGCCUGGGAAGUACGCUCGCAAGAGUGAAACUCAAAGAGUAGUGCGNGNGAGACGCGACGACGACGACGACGGAGGAGGAG
rnacentral:rRNA from 1 species